rnacentral:rRNA from 1 species
CCAGCACCUGCGGUAAUUCCAGCUCCAAUAGCGUAUAUUAAAGUUGUUGCAGUUAAAACGCUCGUAGUCUGAUUUGGUGUGUGUGGGUGGAGGGUGCUGUAAAGUAUUCUUCAUCGCACACUUGUUCUGACAGCAAUGUCGGGGUUACUUUGAGGAAAUUAGGGUGUUCAAGGCAGGCGUGUGCUUGGAUAUCGCAGCAUGGAAUAACGGAGUAGGAUUCGCUUCUUAUUUUGUUGGUUUGGGGGAGUGAGUAAUGAUUAAUAGGGGCAGUUGGGGGCAUUGGUAUUUGGUAGUCAGAGGUGAAAUUCUUGGAUUUACCAAAGACUAACUGGUGCGAAAGCGUUUGCCAAGGAUGUUUUCAUUGUUAAAGAACGAAAGU